rnacentral:rRNA from 1 species
UACGUAGGGGGCAAGCGUUGUCCGGAAUCAUUGGGCGUAAAGAGCGUGUAGGCGGCCCGAUAAGUCCGUCGUGAAAGUCCAGGGCUCAACCCUGGGAUGCCGGUGGAAACUGUCGGGCUAGAGUCCGGAAGAGGCGAGUGGAAUUCCUGGUGUAGCGGUGAAAUGCGCAGAUAUCAGGAGGAACACCGAUGGCGAAGGCAGCUCGCUGGGACGGUACUGACGCUGAGACGCGAAAGCGUGGGGAGCAAACAGG